rnacentral:lncRNA from 1 species
CAACUUUUUUUUUAAAUUGGCAUGGUAAAAUAAAAAGUCAAUAAAACAGUACAAAUAAAAAUGAAUUAGAAAUUCAAAAAAUUAAGUUAUGAAUUUAAAAAAAUAAUCAUAUUUGAUCCCUUUUUAUAUCAAAAAAUAAAUAUGCAAACAUAUAUGUAAAACAAAAACAUAAUGGUUUACAACCAUAGAUAAAUAAAUAUUCUAAUUAUGGAAUGUCUAUCGAAAAAAAAAAAUCCGAAAGUACACAAUCAUGCUGAAUUAUUGAUAAACAGACUUUCAAGGCUUAAAGAAAUUUAAUCAGACAAGUCGAAAAGAAAUCCUCUCAAGCAACACGUACGAAUUCUAAUAUUUUAAAUCAUACCAUUAGAAAUGUAACGAAUCACUAAUAAAUGAUCUAAUUUGUUCUCUAUAACAAUUAAGGAGGUUAUAUUAUCAUACCUCCUGUCUAUACCAAUCCAAAUAAAGCUGAUGUUCUUACCAAACAGGAAUUGAAUCCAACUUCAUCUUUUGUUUAAAAUAAAAGUUUGCUUGACCUGAAAACAAUUCGACGGUUAAACAGUAUCCCCAAAGUCGAAGUAACACACCACACCCAUAUCAAAUAAGAAAAUGAAAUAAUAAAUUGUGGUAUUUUUGUUAGAUGAAUAAGAAGCAUUUACAAGUUACUUAUUUCAGAAAGCUGUAACAUACAUUAUGAGAAAAUAAAACGGCGGAUUUAAACAAUACGAGUAAAAAGGUGUAUACAGCCUAUGACAAGGCGGAGACUAGUUUUACAAUAAGGAUCUUCAAAAAUCAGGGAACUAAAAAUCAAAACACAUGAUCAAAAUUAUAAAAAAAAACAGUCAAGGUUACCCAACUCUACUUGAUUUUACAGUUCUAUUUUUGUUUCUGUAAUGCUGUAAUGCCGGGAUUGGGGAGUUGAACGCUCACAAUCGAGUUUGUUGUAGUUGGUUGAUGUCUGUCAUCGUUAUGUAUUUGGUUUAUUAUUGUAAAAUAUACCAAGCACUCAUAUUUCUCGUUUGAAUUGUUUUACAGUCUGUCAUCCCAGGGC